rnacentral:rRNA from 1 species
UACGAAGGGGGCUAGCGUUGUUCGGAAUUACUGGGCGUAAAGCGCACGUAGGCGGACCUGUUAGUCAGAGGUGAAAUCCCGAAGCUUAACUUCGGAACUGCCUUUGAUACUGCAGGUCUCGAGGAUGGGAGAGGUGAGUGGAACUGCGAGUGUAGAGGUGAAAUUCGUAGAUAUUCGCAAGAACACCAGUGGCGAAGGCGGCUCACUGGCCCAUUACUGACGCUGAGGUGCGAAAGCGUGGGGAGCAAACAGG